CUAUUUGCUAGCCUUCUUCGGCUGCCUCUCACUGAACAGACUUGCCAGUGUUUUCCAGCAGCUUACCUGUUAACAGGUUGAGUGGACUCCCAUCGGCCCCCACCACCACCCUGAAAAAGAAAAAAAAAAAGGCUUCAGGCAAAGAAUUGCAGGUGUUCAUAGAAAGCAGCCUUCAAAGUGUACAGGAACAAGAUUGAGGAUCAACAAAGCUACUUGGAAAUAAUGGAUGCUAGAACUCUAAGGAACCCACAGAAGAUCAGUUCUCAAAUCACCAGCCACUGGGGAGCAAAUGAGCCAACCUCAAAAUUGACAAGCAGUUAUGGUGCUAUGUGUCUCCCGUGGGUACUGGACACUGUGUUGUAUGGGGCUCCUC